AAACAAAUGGCCAGUCAAUGGCGAAAUCAAAGAGUGAGCAGUGCAGGAAAAUGUUCAAUUUGACUGAUGGUGAUAUCGACAGUGUUUUUAUUAACCUGAAUUUCUCCGUCAACCUAAAGUGCUACUUUAAAUGUAUGGGAGAGAGUUUGAAGCUGAUCAGUACAAAUGGAGUUUUUGUGGAUGAAAAAUUUUAUCGGAUGAUAGAAAGUGUAAUUAACGCAGACAAUGAUAUACAA